UACGUAGGUGGCAAGCGUUGUCCGGAAUUAUUGGGCGUAAAGCGCGCGCAGGCGGUCCUUUAAGUCUGAUGUGAAAGCCCACGGCUCAACCGUGGAGGGUCAUUGGAAACUGGGAGACUUGAGUGCAGAAGAGGAAAGUGGAAUUCCAUGUGUAGCGGUGAAAUGCGUAGAGAUAUGGAGGAACACCAGUGGCGAAGGCGACUUUCUGGUCUGUAACUGACACUGAGGCGCGAAAGCGUGGGGAGCGAACAGG
rnacentral:rRNA from 1 species